rnacentral:tRNA from 1 species
UAGCUCAGUCGGUAGAGCAGCGGACUUUUAAUCCGUUGGUCGAGCGUUCGAAUCGCUCACGACCCACCA